UACGGAGGGGGCGAGCGUUAUUCGGAAUUAUUGGGCGUAAAGGGCGCGUAGGCGGCUUGAUGUGUCAAAGGUGAAAUCCCUCGGCUCAACUGAGGAACUGCCUUUGAAACUGUCUGGCUUGAGGCCGGGAGAGGGUAGCGGAAUUCCCAGUGUAGCGGUGAAAUGCGUAGAUACUGGGAGGAACACCGGUGGCGAAGGCGGCUACCUGGACAGUAACUGACGCUGAGGCGCGAAAGCUAGGGGAGCAAACAGG
rnacentral:rRNA from 1 species